AGCAAGAGCAAGAGAGCAUCUCAAGCCACCUGUGACAUCAAGAUCAAGCUCAAGAGGUACAUUUUGAGUUUGAGCAGCCAGGUUACAAUGUUAAAUCUUAACUGUCCUGUUUGUUGUCCACUGGUGAACUAUGGAAGCUUUAAGAGGCGGUGGCAGCGACCCAGUGGCGGAUGGUUGAAGGAUCACAUGGGGGUGCCCGAAGGAGACGUUGCUGUGUCUGGGCACCACCAAAGCACAUCUCUCACCAUGGGCAUGGACCAGGGCAAAGGACUCAACAGCUGAUUAACACACAUCCAGCUCUCAUCCAAGGCUCAAGGACUGCUCUCCUCCACCAAAGAAACUGCCUUGGCCUGCCUUGCCUCCCAAUGCACCAGAGAAAUGGAAAGAUCUCAUCAGCUAGAGGAAGAGUGUUGCAUGUUAGUGAAAACACCUUCUGAUAAUUGUAAGGCAUGUUAGCAUUUAUGAGGCAUUUAUUUUCAGGCAGUUUCGCUAUUACAACAAAUAUUUCUAAGGUCCACAAAGGAGAUUAGUCAGAUUCUCAUGAAUGUUUUUCAAUUCAUGGUGCAGAAGCCUUGUCAAGCUGUCACUUGGCUCAUUUAACUAUUGGAAAUACCCACAGCCUCCACGGUGCAGUGGUUAGCGUCCCUUACUACAAAUCUAUGGGUCUGGGUUUGAAUCCCAGCUAGGGCAGUCAGUGUGCAGCCCACCCAGCUGUUCAUCCUUCCUUUUGGGAUGGACGAUAAAUGGGUACCUGGGGAAACCUGAGGAAGGUAAACUGCUACAACCCAGAUGUUACACUGGCCCUGCGUUGGGUUUAGGGUGCUCUCCCAUCACAGGCUGAAAGUGCAGUUAUAGUGUAUGAUCCCAACUUUACCUUACUUAUGAAAGCCUUAUCAAAUGGGGGGUGUAAGCCUUGAUAUGUCCAAGAAUAUGGAUUUAAGCUCUACCUUGUGUUACAGGAGACAGACCGUGAGAUGAACACAAAUAGGUGAUCUUAUAAGUAGGAGAAACUGAAAAAGGACACAAUAGGAUGACAGCACCAUCUGAUAGUAAGGUGUGAGUGGUUUUAAGCAUCUUUGUGUGUUACCUGCUGGGUGUGGCACCAAAAAUGGGGAAUAUAUAGGGAUGAAAAGAGAAUGAAAGCUGUAAGACACCAAAGAGGGGUUAGAGUAAGGUUAUUGUGGCACCUCCUGAUAGCAAGGUGUGGCAUAUUUUAAGUCCCAACUUGUGUUUGUUACCUGGCGGGUGUGUGUGUGACAGGAAGCAGACUAAGAGAUAAACAGUUACAGUGAAGGAAAGCACCAAGGAAGGAAUUAAUUGGAGUAAUGAAAGUUGA